ensembl:snoRNA
UGCCCGUGAUGAUUUGCCAUGCUAAUACUGAUGCACCAGGCUGGUCCUCAAGGUCAUCCGUUCUGGGUGCAGUUGAGUUAAAAUCUACUUCUCGCAAAACUUGUGCGAUCUGAGGCAU